rnacentral:rRNA from 1 species
AUGGAGGACCUACCGGAGGCUCUCGUGACGGAGAUUCACAAGAGGAUCACCAGGACAAGUGAUCUGAAUUCUCUUUCCCUUGUCUCAAAGCAGCUCUACAAGAUAGAGGGGAAUCAAAGGGGUGCUAUCCGUGUUGGUUCCGGUCUUUGCACUGCUACAGAAGCACUAACAUCACUGUGCCCCAGGUUCACAAAUUUGCAGAAAUUGGAAAUUGAUUACUCUGGUUGGAUACUUGAACAUGGAAAUCAGUUGGACAACAAAGGCCUUUUUGUAUUUUCAUCUCACUGUUCCUCGCUGAUUGAUCUCACCUUAAGCUUCUGCUCAUACAUCGAUGACUCUGGGCUUGGUUGUUCAGUGCAUUGCAAGAAAUUGGUUUCUCUCAGGCUGAACUCCGCACCAAAAAUAACGUCAUAUGGGCAUCUCUCGGUUGCAGUUGGUUGCACAAGUCUAUCUGCCCUUCACCUUAUUGAUUGCGAGAAAAUCGAUAAUGUAGAGUGGCUGGAAUACCUUGGUAGGGAUGGAUCGUUGGAAGAGCUUGUAGUGAAGAAUUGCAAAGGCAUCAAUCAUCAUGACUUCCUAAAGUUUGGUUCAGGAUGGAUGAAGCUCCAGAAGUUUGAGUUUGAGAGGAAAAGAGGAAUAUAG